rnacentral:rRNA from 1 species
CCCACAGGGAGAUUGCCUUAGAACGGCGAGUGAAGCGGCAAAAGCUCAAAUUUGAAAUCUGGCACCUUCGGUGUCCGAGUUGUAAUUUGAAGAAGGUAACUUUGGAGUUGGCUCUUGUCUAUGUUCCUUGGAACAGGACGUCACAGAGGGUGAGAAUCCCGUGCGAUGAGAUGCCCAAUUCUAUGUAAAGUGCUUUCGAAGAGUCGAGUUGUUUGGGAAUGCAGCUCUAAGUGGGUGGUAAAUUCCAUCUAAAGCUAAAUAUUGGCGAGAGACCGAUAGCGAACAAGUACAGUGAUGGAAAGAUGAAAAGAACUUUGAAAAGAGAGUGAAAAAGUACGUGAAAUUGUUGAAAGGGAAGGGCUUGAGAUCAGACUUGGUAUUUUGCGAUCCUUUCCUUCUUGGUUGGGUUCCUCGCAGCUUACUGGGCCAGCAUCGGUUUGGAUGGUAGGAUAAUGACUAAGGAAUGUGGCUCUACUUCGGUGGAGUGUUAUAGCCUUGGUUGAUACUGCCUGUCUAGACCGAGGACUGCGUCUUUUGACUAGGAUGUUGGCAUAAUGAUCUUAAGCCACCCCCCCCGAAAAACAAAACCAAAAAAUUAAAAAAAACUAAAAUAAAAUUUUGGUGAUAAUUUUAACUCUGAAUUACCCGGUCGAU